rnacentral:lncRNA from 1 species
UCUUCCUGUUUUGCUCUGAACAUCGCCCAAAGAUCAAAAGUGAACACCCCGGCCUGUCUAUUGGAGAUACUGCAAAGAAACUGGGGGAGAUGUGGUCUGAGCAAUCUGCCAAAGAUAAACAACCGUAUGAGCAGAAAGCAGCUAAACUAAAGGAGAAGUAUGAAAAGGAUAUUGCUGCAUACCGUGCCAAGGGCAAAAGUGAAGUAGGAAAGAAGGGUCCUGGUAGGCCAACAGGCUCAAAGAAGAAGAAUGAACCAGAAGAUGAGGAAGAGGAGGAGGAGGAAGAAGAUGAUGAAGAUGAAGAGGAGGAAGAUGAGGAUGAAGAAUAAGUAUCUGUCCUAAAGUGUGGAGUAUAUGUGCUCAGGCAAUUAUUUUGCUAAGAAUGUGAAAUUCAAGUGCAGCUCAACAUUAGCUUCAGUAUAAAAACUGUACAGAUUUUUGUAUAGCUGAUGAGAUUCUUUGUAGAGAAAAUACUUUUUAAAAAGGGUUUGUAGCUUUUUCAGGGGCUACAACGUACAGUUAGAUUUAAAGCUUUUGAUGUUGAAUGUUUCUAAAUAUUUAAUGGUUUCUUUAAUUUCUUAUGAUAGCAAAAAAAAAAACUUCAUAGGAAUUUGUAUUACCAGUAAAAGAAUUUUUUUUUAGGAUGUUGCAUUUUUGUUUUUUUUUAAAAUUUGUAAUAAAAUAAUGUAUAUUACUUGCAAAAAGAAAAAAAAAAAA